AGUGAACGCUGGCGGUAGGCCUAACACAUGCAAGUCGAACGGCAGCACAGUAAGAGCUUGCUCUUACGGGUGGCGAGUGGCGGACGGGUGAGGAAUACAUCGGAAUCUACUUUUUCGUGGGGGAUAACGUAGGGAAACUUACGCUAAUACCGCAUACGACCUACGGGUGAAAGCAGGGGAUCUUCGGACCUUGCGCGAUUGAAUGAGCCGAUGUCGGAUUAGCUAGUUGGCGGGGUAAAGGCCCACCAAGGCGACGAUCCGUAGCUGGUCUGAGAGGAUGAUCAGCCACACUGGAACUGAGACACGGUCCUGACUCCUACGGGAGGCAGCAGUGGGGAAUAUUGGACAAUGGGCGCAAGCCUGAUCCAGCCACACCGCGUGGGUGAAGAAGGCCUUCGGGUUGUAAAGCCCUUUUGUUGGGAAAGAAAAGCAGCAGGUUAAUACCCCGCUGUUCUGACGGUACCCAAAGAAUAAGCACCGGCUAACUUCGUG
rnacentral:rRNA from 1 species